GGUGGGGUUCCCGAGCGGCCAAAGGGAGCAGACUGUAAAUCUGCCGUCACAGACUUCGAAGGUCGGCAGUUCGAAUCUGCCUAUCAGCACCA
rnacentral:tRNA from 1 species